AAGAGAACCAAGCUAUCCAAGAUGC
rnacentral:siRNA from 1 species